rnacentral:pre_miRNA from 1 species
AGGGGGAGCGCCGGACCUAGGGCUGUGUCCCCCAGCACCCUGGACUCCGGGCCUGUGCCACUGGAAUCUUGCUCUCAGGCUGGGCAGCCCCCU